AAAAUUAAAGGGUGUGGAUUGGCCAGGACUUGCUCACAUACCAAAUGUUUAUUGGCCUGGUGAAUAAGCAAUCGGCUUUCUGAUCAUCCGUUUCAACGAAAUCAGGAAAAGACGUUGUUGCUGCUGUUGGUCAAGUCCAAAUUCUAUUUCUUGUGCAUUUACGGAAUCCUCGAAGUUGUGGUCUGAACUCUUUUAAAAGGACUUUUAAUUACUAUUGACUCUGUUAAUGAAUGAAUAAAUUGUGGAAAUUGUGCUGAAGUAGAAUUUUUAUAUUUCCCGGAUUUGAUGUUGUGUAAAUGUAAUUGCUUAAAUGAUAUCACAUGUUAUGGGUUAGCAUUAUUCCACUUAAA